UGCCUAACUGAGUCUCGAUUUCUGCGAUCUGUGUUUUUUAUCUGGUUGAGGAAAAGGAAAAUUUUGGUUUCUUUUUUUGUUGAAUCGAAGAGACAGAGAGAGGAUAUGGUGGGAUGAGGUUGAACAGGGAGGGAAGGUGGAGAUGGCGAGGGGAGUCAAAUGGUUAUGCUCGUACAAGAGAACCACUCUUAUAGUUUGCUCCAUCAACAUUGUUGUUGCUCUUUAUGUUCUUCGCUCUCUAUAUGGCUCACUCUAUAUUUACUCCAAUCGUGAUUUAAAUAACGUUGUAAAGUACACACCGGAUCAGAUUAGUAGGAUGGAGGAAUCAAUUCGGAUACGAAAAGCCAAUGAACCUCUACAGCUUGUUAAAUUGGUGAAGCAAGUUAAGGAGGAGCUGAAGAGAGAUGAAAAGGGGGUUGAAUUGCCAAUGGAGGUCAGGCGGAAGAUAACUGAUGAGGUUUUGCAGCGGUUGAGAAGCUUGAACACGAAUGCCAAUAUCACGGAGCAGCGAGAAGCUAUUGAAAGCUGGCGCAAAGAAAAACUGCAUGAAUUCAAAGAGUUAAGCCAUGGAACAGGGGGAUUGAAUUCAACUAUUCUGCAAGAAGAAACCAGGAUGCUAAUAAAAGCCUUGGACUCUGAUUGGGCUGUGCUUUCGGAAAAUAUUGGCCUUUGGAUACCUGCUGAAAUCAUUAACCAGGUGCAUGAUGAUAAGCCUGAGGGUGAAGAAGAGUCUGAGGAAGAAAUUUUGCCUGGCAGGCCAGUUCCACCUGAAUGCCAUGCUGAACUUCAUACUGAUUAUGAUGGUGCAGCUGUCAGAUGGGGCCUUACCCACCAUAAAGAAAGUGCAGCGGACUGCUGUCAAGCUUGCUUAGAUCAGGCAAAACUUGCUAAGCCAGGUGAAAAGAAAUGUAACAUAUGGGUCUAUUGCCCGUCUGAAACAGGAUGUCACUCACCAGAUAUCUAUCAACAUAAGAAUGAAGAGUGCUGGCUGAAAUAUGCUGAAAAGCC
rnacentral:misc_RNA from 1 species